GACGAACGCUGGCGGCGUGCUUAACACAUGCAAGUCGAACGGUGAACGAGGGAGCUUGCUCCCUCCGGAUCAGUGGCGAACGGGUGAGUAACACGUGAGCAAUCUGCCCCGAACUCUGGGAUAAGCGUUGGAAACGACGUCUAAUACCGGAUACGACGCGGGAGGGCAUCCUCUCCGCGUGGAAAGAACUUCGGUUCGGGAUGAGCUCGCGGCCUAUCAGCUUGUUGGUGAGGUAACGGCUCACCAAGGCGACGACGGGUAGCCGGCCUGAGAGGGUGACCGGCCACACUGGGACUGAGACACGGCCCAGACUCCUACGGGAGGCAGCAGUGGGGAAUAUUGCACAAUGGGCGCAAGCCUGAUGCAGCAACGCCGCGUGAGGGACGACGGCCUUCGGGUUGUAAACCUCUUUUAGCAGGGAAGAAGCGAAAAUGACGGUACCUGCAGAAAAAGCACCGGCUAACUACGUG
rnacentral:rRNA from 1 species